ensembl:lncRNA
AGUCUGUUGGAGGUGUAUGGUAGUCUGUGGGAGGAGUAAGGUGGUCUGUGGGAGGUGUAAGGUAGUCUGUUGGAGGUGUAAGCUAGUCUGUUGGAGGUGUAAGGUAGUCUGUUGGAGGUGUAAGGUAGUUUGUGGGAGGUGUAAGGUAGUCUGUUGGAGGUGUAAGGUAGUCUGUUGGAGGUGUAAGGUAGUUUGUGGGAGGUGUAAGGUAGUCUGUUGGAGGUGAAAGGUAGUCUGUGGGAGGUGUAAGGUAGUCUAUUGGAGGUGUAAGGUAGUCUGUUGGAGGUGUAAGGUAGUCUGUGGGAGGUGUAAGGUAGUCUGAUGGAGGUGUAAGGUAGUCUGAUGGAGGUGUAAGGUAGUCUGUGGGAGGUGUAAGGUAGUCUGUUGGAGGUGUAAGGUAGUCUGUUGGAGGUGUAAGUUAGUCUGUGGGAGGUGAAAGGUAGUCUGUUGGAGGUGUAAGGUAGUCUGUUGGAGGUGUAAGUUAGUCUGUGGGAGGUGUAAGGUAGUCUGUGGGAGGUGUAAGGUAGUCUGAUGGAGGUGUAAGGUAGUCUGUUGGAGGUGUAAGGUAGUCUGUGGGAGGUGUAAG